UACGUAGGGUCCAAGCGUUAUCCGGAAUCACUGGGCGUAAAGCGUGCGUAGGCGGGAGCUUAAGUGCAAUGCGAAAUCUUGUGGCUCAACCAUAUAGACUGUGUUGCAUACUGGGCACCUGGAGGAUGGCAGAGGCUAGUGGAAUUACUGGUGUAGCAGUGAAAUGCGUAGAUAUCAGUAGGAACACCAAUGGCGAAGGCAGCUAGCUGGGCCAUUUCUGACGCUAAGGCACGAAAGCGUGGGGAGCGAACAGG
rnacentral:rRNA from 2 species